GCUGAGGCAGGAGAAUGGCGUGAACCCGGGAGACGACGGAGCUUGCAGUGAGCCGAGAUUGUGCCACUGCACUCCGGUCUGGGCGACAGAGCAAGACGCUGUCUCAAAAAAAAAAAAAAAAGGAAAGAAUGAAAACACUGAGGUUAGACUAACUGAUGAAGAGUGGUAACGGCAUAAAGAAGUCGAAAAGAAAGGCGGAUAGGAGCUGCAUUCAAUAUAUGAGUACAGCUGAUGGAUGCUGACAGAGAGGGUUCCUCUGGAGACGAAGCCUCGGCCUCUUCGGUAGUCUCCAGUCUUCCAUUUGCUCGCUGCAGUUACAUCAACAGCUCUCUGUAUAGGGGUAGUUGCAUAAAAUACAACUUAAAUCACAAUACUAAAAUAAAUAUGAGCCCAUGAGCAAUGCUAAAAUAAAUACGAGCCCAUGAACGGUAUCAUAGGCCUGAUUUUAAAAAACAAAACCUAGGAGAAGAUAGAAAUUCCAAAGGCGAGAGACGAAUCUGCCAACCCAAAUCCUGGGUGACAAGGCUGGUGGGUCACCGAGGCAAGAACAAACCAGCGCGAGCUCAAGCCACACCCCUAGGCUCAGACCCAACGCUUGACAUUCGCCGCCGCACUUUCGCCACGCUUUCCCAAGCGCACCCGGCAAACUGAAGGAGGCGGGGCUGAAACCAUAAAAGGGGACUGCGCGGAGCGAGCCGCGUCGUCGCCAAGGCAACUCGAGAGCUAGGCGUAGCGAACCGACUGAAGGCAGCUGAGGUUGCUCCUGGCGCGGUUCAUCAUCGGCCGCCGCACUUUCGCGACUGAGACAAAACGACGCUCACCUUUACUUAGUGGAAGGCUUCGCUUACAUCCUGAAUUUAAGGGAACUACAGAAGGGGACAGAAACUGCUUUCUUUUUAAACAAUGCCCUGAAAGGUUACUAGUGACAGGGGGCUUAGUGAAGCGCGUGAUGUGAACGGCCAAGCUACAAGGCUGGAGAGAAAAGAGGAGGGGGAUGAAGUUGCACCCUGAUCGCGAUUCCUCGGCCUUUUGUCAGGGGCGCCGCCACUCGGGAUCCGACCAUUCGCCUCCAACGAGGGGACAGCGAAUCUGCUGUCGUGUGCAGUCCACAGCAACCACAGGUGGGGCAACAGGAGGAGCGCUUGGGCACGACCACGUGACCCAACACGAGCCACCGCCCGCCCCAAAAUGAAAUCAAAUCCUAAUCUCCCAAUCCCGGCAUUCCGGUCACUCCAGCAUUUCCAGGAGACUUGCGGCCCUGCAGCCCCUACACCUUUAUCUGGGCUCCUGUCCUACUUGGCCCAGCUCCACUGGAUUCAGCCCUGGGAUAACCACCCUACCAGCUCCUAAAGAUUAUUCCAUCCCCGUGGGUAUACUUAAUUAAAGAAAGAAAAACAGGA
rnacentral:lncRNA from 1 species